UUGCUGCUUUUCAUGGAUCAAAUAUUUCUCAUUGUAAUAGAGUGAUGGCAACCUUAGCAGGUCAUAUAAGUGCGAAAUUUCCCGAACUUAAUAGCAAAAUAGUUCAGUUAUAUGUCAGAACAAGAACUUUUAUACGGAUUAGACAUUUAAACAAAAGAGCCAAAAUUGAUGCAAUGAAACGGAAUUCGGCAAGGAAGAAUCGGCUCUGGUCAGCGUCGUCUUCAGCAUCUUCGACGUAGCUUCUGCAUCAGCUUUGUAAGGUCUGAAGAUGGUUUGAUGGAACUAAAAACAGUCACAAGAAAAGGGAGGAGGUGGCGGUAUCAUCAAUUUGUGCUUAUUCCCAGUCUUACAUGCCACAGAUCAUUCUACCAUCAAUUACUCUCUACCCAGAAGGGUCAGUGUCGGACCAAAGCACUUAGUCAUUUGGGAGUCAUCAUUGAGAGAGGAGGAAGCUGCAGUUUAUUUGGCAUGAAUAAAUGAAGAAAAUUGACAGGUUAUGUA